rnacentral:rRNA from 1 species
GACGAACGCUGGCGGCGUGCUUAACACAUGCAAGUCGAACGGAAAGGCCCUGCUUUUGUGGGGUGCUCGAGUGGCGAACGGGUGAGUAACACGUGAGUAACCUGCCCUUGACUUUGGGAUAACUUCAGGAAACUGGGGCUAAUACCGGAUAGGAGCUCCUGCUGCAUGGUGGGGGUUGGAAAGUUUCGGCGGUUGGGGAUGGACUCGCGGCUUAUCAGCUUGUUGGUGGGGUAGUGGCUUACCAAGGCUUUGACGGGUAGCCGGCCUGAGAGGGUGACCGGCCACAUUGGGACUGAGAUACGGCCCAGACGCCUACGGGAGGCAGCAGUGGAGAAUAUUGCACAGUGGGCGGGAGCCUGAUGCAGCAACGCCGCGUGCGGGAUGACGGCCUUCGAGUUGUAAACCGCUUUCGCCGGUGACGAAGCGUGAGUGACGGUAAUGGGUAAAGAAGCACCGGCUAACUACGUG